rnacentral:misc_RNA from 1 species
AUUUUACAAGGUGAAAAGGAUACUGUUUGUGGAGAUAGAGUAGGUUCUACUUUCGGUUUGUGCAUAUGAGAGACAACAGAAAGGAAUCAAUUAAAUGGACCAGGCUUCGGCGCUUUAUCGUCUACCAUUAAUCUGGGACUCUGAUAGUGAUGCAGAGGACUCUUCAGUGAUUAAACAGACACAUGCAACAGGGUUAGAAAAUGAAAACACGACUUCGACGCUCCAUCCCGUACAAAUUAUCUGGGACGCUGAUAAUGACAUAGAGAACUCUUCAUUGGACAAACAGACAGAGGCAACAAGAUCAGACCAUGAGCAAACGGGUCAGAAAUACAAGCCAAUGAUUGUAGCAGCCAUAUACCUUGGUACUUUUAGAUCAGGAUUUGCCGUAGUUACUUAUGCGGAUUACUUAAAAGACCCUAAUAAAAUAGGUGUUAAUACCUGGAAUAGUGGAACCACUAUUACCAGCAAAACACCUACGACUGUGUUGAUAAAUCCCAAUGGCAAGGACUGUAUGAGCUUUGGUUACGAUGCAGAGCGUGAGUUUGUGGACUUGGAACCUUCAGAGCAAAGGAAACAUUAUCUUUUCAGACUAUUCAAAAUGAAGCUGUUCUAUAAAUCCGAUCUGUCAGUGUCAACAAAGUUAAAGGACAUCAAAAACAAAGAGCUCCCUGCUGUUGAUGUCUUUGCAGCUGUUUUCCAGUACUUUAGAGACAACUUGCAUAAAAAAAUAAAUUGCAGGAAUGUGGAGGAUUUUACCUAUGAUAAUGUUUACUGGGUCAUUACUGUGCCAGAUAUUUGGGAUCUGAAGGCAAAACAGUUCAUGAGGAAGGCAACUGAAAAAGCUGGAUUUAAGGACUGCCAGCUUUCAUUGGCCCGGGAGACAGAAGCAGCAUUCUUGUACUGUCGCAAAAUUCCAGUGGAAAUCAGCACACAGAAAGAUGGAGCCAAACAAAUCUUAUCUCUCGCAGAGGGCACCAAGUUCUUGGUGCUUGAUCUCAGAGGGGUCACAAUAGAUAUCACAGCCCAUGAAGUGAUGGCUAAUGCAGGACUAAGAGAGCUUCACCAUGCUAGUGGAGGCUACUAUGGAGGAGCUUGUGUAAUUGAUGAAAUCAUGUCCUUCUUCAAACGACUGUUUAGUGCUCCAGUUUUAAUGAAUGUCAAAGAAGAAAACCCAAGAGACUUUUUCGAUUUAAUGAAUGAUAUUGAGAUGAAAAUGUGCAUGUAUAGUCCUAAAAUGGAUGAGAAAUACAUCUGUUUAAGGCUUCCUGUCACUUUGUUGGAUGCAUUUAUAGAGGAAAAUGAAAUCCAGAUUGAGAAAUGUUUAGAGGACACAGCAUUUGCAGAUGAUGUGCAAAUAAAGCGAGACAAGAUGAUGAUUUCUAAAAAACUUUUUGGAAGUUUUUUUAAAACAUCGGUUGACAAUAUAGUUAGAAUAAUAAACGAGUUUUUGGAAACACCAAAUAUGUCCGAGGUCACCACAUUACUCGCUGUAGGAGGGUAUGCCGAAUCUGCUUUGAUCAAAGAAACACUGCAGACUACCUUUCCAGAGAAAAAGAUUGCUAUACCAACUGACCCCAGCCUCACUGUAUUAAAAGGAGCUGUUAUCUAUGGAUUUGAGACUGAGGUCAUUGCUUCCUGGGAUUAGUUAAGCGAGAAAUUCGGAAAGAGGGAGAUCCUGAGAGUAGAAAACUCCCCUAGUAAACCAGAAAAGGCCUCCAUUGGUGUGAUGGAAUGUUUGAUAAGCAUGUAGAGGUGGAACAAGUUGUUAAACUUGGAGAGUUCCAGGAGGCGAAAGAGAAUUUCAUGAAACUAUGUUAUUAAUUAUAAACAUAAUGUGUAGAUUUGCAUAUUUAUAGGUAAAUACAUGAAAAAUUUGAUAUCAUCAAUGUAAUGUUACAUAUCUUCCUUUAGACAAAAAAUGACUUCAGAAUCUACAUGUAUUUAAUGAAUAACGUGAAAAAUAUUCUGCUUCUUAUGUUCUUACAGCCCAUAACACAUCAGUUCAUUCUGAUCUGUAAAGAAAUGCUAUUUAUGGAAACAGGUAAAAUCACAAUAUACUAAGGCAAAUACAUGUGCUGUGUUAGGGAUGUUACAGAACUCAUCACAUUAAGCUGAUCAUUUUAAAUGUACAAAAGGAGUAAAAAUGAUAAGUUUUGUAGUUUUAUCUAGUACAGUGUAUUUAGGGAUUUUAGUACUUUAGCGAAUUGAGAAAUUAUAUACUCCACAUAAAAUAGUAUCCCCCCCCCCCCAUAAUGUGUUCUUCCGUAGCUUACCAGCUGUCUGUUUACCGUGGUUCAAACACAAUAACAUUUUUAUUUU